CGGGCUGUAGCUCAGCUUGGUAGAGCACACGCCUGGGGGGCGUGGGGUCGUCGGUUCGAAUCCGGCCAGCCCGACCA
rnacentral:tRNA from 1 species